CGGGGGGUCCGCUGCAAUAUCCACGGCUGGGCGGCUAGUUCAAGUUGCCAUAGCUGCGGAGUCUGGGGAAGAGAAGAGUCAGUUGCGCCGGCCGCGUCUGGUCAGUUGCAGCUUUUUGCAACGGCUAGAUCUGAGUUAGAGAUGAUUCGGCGCUGAGGGCCUCAGGCCCUCUCCUUUCUUAGAUAUACCAUCAGAUACAAGAAAUUGAACAUCCUUCAUUGUUGCUCCAGCUUUUGGAAUCAGUUGCAGACAUUUUAAAUGUGUACUGGUGAAUCUCAUGCUGGAAAUCAUCAUACUUUCUUACUAAAAAAAGGAUUUGAAGAUAAUGGCAGAAUCAUCCAGCGAAUCAGAAUACUACCAUCACAGUCGAUUUGAUAGGCGGAAGCCUCGUACUCCCCGGCAACAUGCUACAGAUGUUACUUCAAAGAUCCAUACCUUAACAAGUACUUUACAAGAUACCAAUCGAAACCUCCGACAAGUUGACCAGAUGUUGGGACAAUAUAGAGAUUAUAGCAAUGAACAGACAGAAGCCAUAGAAAAUUUAAGAGAGACUUUGGAGCAAUCAAUAGGGCAAUUAAGAAGUCAACGUUUAUUCAGAAACUCUGAAGUAAGAAGUGCUUCUCUUUCGAGUUUGUAUGUAAGUGACCUGGAUGGCCCCAAUGUAACAGAUAGCCAUCACGAUAUGCGGUCUUCCUCACCACUCAGGGACUCCAGAGAACCACAGGGAUCUAGACUACACAAGUCUAGAUCAACUUCUGUCCGGUUUCUUGAUGAGCCAGAUGAUUUGGCCCAGCUUCACUCAUUGCACCAGUCCCUCCGAGAUCUCAGUAAUGAACAAGCUCGCCUUGGAGAUGAUCUCAACAGAGAGCUUUCAAGAAGAAAUAGGUCAGAUGCUCAAACUAAAAAGACUUUGGAAGAAUUAUCUGUGAGACUUGAUGAAUCUCAGAGACAAGAUACAGUUUCAGAACGGGUAGAGAAACGGCUUAAAGAAAUAGAGAGAGUGAUGCAGAAUGAAAGACAGUUGGUGGAAAGGCGUCAGGAACAGCUGGGACUCAUGAACUUAAAGUUGCAGGAAGCUCUGAGGAAACAGGAUGCUAAAGCUAGUGAAAAUGAGGGAUUGAUGAAAACCAAAUUAAGACAAUCUGAAAGUGAAAAGAUUCAAGUUGAACAGGAAUUGGAAACAUCCCGAAGGCUGUUGGCACAGUCAGAAAGCAAUCGAGAAUCACUUUUGCUUCAGAUAGAAGAUCUACGUGCUCAACUCAUGACCUAUCAAGCACCACAGAUUUCUAGGCAACAAACAAACCAACAGAAUGAGCAUGAAGAUGACAGGAGAUUUAGACGAGGGCUUGAGAGAUCUGAUCCAGAGAAGCAAGAAAUGGAGAAACAGAUCUCAGAGCUGAAAGCCAAGUUGAACCAUAGUGUCAUGAUGUCUGAGGUACAGGAAUUGAAGCGAUGCAUUGAGAGAAAAGACAAGGAAAAAGCACAGUUAGAAGAACAAACAGAGGCUUUAGCAUCUGACUUAGAGAAGAGGGAGAAACAACAAGUGCGGAUGUUAGAACAACUUACAGAGAUUCAGAAACGGUAUGAAGAAUGUGAGAAUGAACGGAUACGUGCUAAUUCCCAAGUUAGAGAGUUGGUCCAACAAGCAGAAGAGUCGACCAAGGAAGCAGAGAGAUAUCUCAGUGAAUUCCAGCGGUCAGAGGCCUUGAGGCAGGAAUCAGAAAAGAAGAAAGAAGAGUUGAGAACAAAGGCCCAGGAAUCUAUUAGACAGUGGAAGCUCAAAUAUAAGACUUUAGCACGAGACAUGGAGAAACAGAAUGAGACAGUUCUUCAUCUUACAGAAAGGAACACUCAGAUGCUGAAAGAAAAAGAUGACUUGAAGGGUCAGCUUAAUUUAGCUUCAUGCCGUAUUGAAAAUCUCCGACAGGAGCUGAAUGACAUCAUAAACAAGCGUGCUAAUCAGGAAGAGGAGCUUCACUGUAAGGAAAGGAAACUUAGUGAUAUGAAGUGUCGGCAAAUAGAUCUGGAGCAAGAAGUCAGGACCCUUAGAGACACUGUACAUCAAUUGGAAAAUGAAUUACAAAAACACAAUAGGGUACACAACCAGAUAACUACUGAAAAAGAACACCUAGAGAAGGAAAUUGCUGACAUAAGAAUUAUUCGAGAAAAAGACAAGGAAAAACUCUUUGAGUUCCAAGAGACCAUCAAGGAUCUCAAUUCUUCCCGAGCAGAGCUUGUCAACAAAGUGGCUGAAGAAGAGCGGGCCAAGAAGGAGGCACUUAAAAACCUUUCUGAUCUCAAAAAAAUGGAGGGAUCUAACCAGGAGGAAACAAGUACAGUAAUAAGGCAAUUAAAACUAGAAAGAGAUGUUCACCAGAGAGAGCUGGAAGAUCUCCGGACAGAAUUACAGAACAUGAGAACCAAGCAUGAUCGCAAUAUUCAAGAAUUAAAGCUGCAAUUUAAACAAGAACAGAGUGAGGUUGAAAGCCAUAUUAGAUCCUUGAAGGCAGAAAGCUUGGAAGACAAGAAUGUGGCUAAAAUUCAUCGUUGGCAACUAGAGAAAAUAAAAAUUGAAUGUGAAAAGCUGGCAGAAGAGCUAACCCACCAAGAAGAUGAGAACUCAAAACUCAAGCGAAAAUAUCAUCUUGUGAAGCAGCAAUUGGAAGAAAAGGAAAAACAGCUACACAAUGAUGAAGAAUAUUUAAGGAGAAUGGAAGAAACCAAACACCAACUCAAGGAUCAGCUCCUUUCUAUGGAGACAGAGCAGGAAUCCAUUUUUGAUAUGUUAGGAAGGGAAAUUGAUACAGCUUGUGAAAUAUUCUCUAGUGACUGUUUGGAUAAAUUCAAAGCUAUUUCUACUACAACUGAUAUACACCAUGAUGUACGCUAUGAUCCACACCGUUGGUUAGCAGAAAGUAAGACUAAACUUCAGUGGCUCUGUGAAGAGUUGAAAGAGAGAGAGAACAGAGAAAAAAAGCUAAAGCAACAGCUGUUAUUAUAUAGACAUCAACUCAAGGACAUGACUCAACUGAAGGAGUCUGAGCAGCAAUCUCUGUUUGACCAGAUAGAAAGACAGGAGCAACUUUUAGAAGAAAUCCAUCGAGAAAAGAAAGUCAGAACUUCAACAUGGAUAUUGGAGGCUCUCAUCAGAAAUUCUUCAGAGAAUUUCAUUACUUCACCAGUCUUUGCAAUAGAAGCUGACAUGUAAUCAUCUUAGUUUUGAUGUUUAUGAGUACUUAAAAAUGAUGAGCAAUUUCUGAUGAAAUAAGAAUAUAACUCUUGUUAGGGAGGUCAGGAAGCAAAAUGGGAAUGAAGAGUUUAAAAUUAAACAUUAGGAAACUGUUUAAGAAGACUCAUUAUAAAUGAAGGUACAACUCUCUCAGAAAUUACAAGGUGAAAAAAAAAAUGAAAUGGAUUUAAGAUAUACCUGGAAGAUUUUAGGGGUCCACUAUGCCUUAAAAUAUCUCUAUUAGAAGUACUGAGCCUAUGAUCCUAUGUGUAGACUGCUUCCCUCUCCUCAGGAUGAACUAGUACUGAACAAGUAGAAGGUAAUGAGUUACAAAGCUGCCUAUAUAUCUGUGGAGUCUUGGGGGUUUUUGGUGCUGAAUCUGGUUAAAAACUUCUUGUCCUGGUUAAAAACCAAGAGUUGGCCUUAUUCCAUCCCUGUGCUGGAAUACUCUGAGCAGCAGCUUCUUGCUAAACUUGGUUCUCUUGGUCUCCAUUUCUCUGUAUCUGUACACUUACCUAGUGGGACUGAACUGAAAAAAUGUUAUCAUUUUUUUUCCCUCAGAAUUCCUUGUUAAGAUUGGUUUGGUGCAUUUUUGGCAUCUUUGUUUGGGAUCUAACAGUUGUAGAGAAGAUCAUAGCUAAAUUACUUCAUCUCUACCAUUUGUCUGAUUUCUUAUUGUCUUGUUUUAAUGAGAUUUUUAAUUUAAGUAAAAUUUAUUAAAGGAUCCUUUGAAUAAUGGCUGCACAAUGAUAAAAACUAUAUUCAUUUUUUAUCAAGUGAAUGGUCAAUAAGAUGUUUUAUUAUAUAUGAAAUUAUUAAUGAAUUAUGUAUCUGUUGUGUUGGUAUGAAGAAAAGUUUUAGUGAUGCUUUCUAAUCUUCCUAUGGUUUUUCUUUCUUCCAAAUUUCAAAUAUCUUUAAAUGGAAAACAGAGCAAUUAAUUAUGUGGAUAUUUUAUUUUCCCCUGCUAAAUAUGGAAAAAACUGGUAAAUAACCAUAGGAUCUUAGGAUUUUAAAGCGGGAAGGCACAUUGGAAUCUUUAUACAAAAUAUUUGUCAGUUGUCUCUUUGGAAGGUAGUUUUUUUGCUCCUUUAUUAUCUCCCCAAAUAGAAAAACUUUGAAGGGACAGAAAGUUCUAAACCUUGAUAUGCGAGACCACAUUAUUCUUUUUAGUAGUGAGAUGAAUGUCUUUGUGUGUGUGUGUGUGUGUGUGUGUGUACAUAUGUAUGCGUAUUAUAUUUAACAUUUUACAUAUAAGUAUUUGUAUAUUAAAUGUACCAAGAGACUGUCUAAUUAAAUUUCAAUGAAAUGUGAUUCAGGAUAAAAGUACUAGCUUUUGAUUUUCAUUAGUUUUCAAAAAGGGUAAUAUUUAUUCUUAGAUGGUAUAGUGCUUUAGAAUUAGAAAAUAAAUAUGCCAUUUUGAGAAAACAUGAGCUGUCCAUGAUUAGUGAACCUAAUCUCUUGGUUCAGUGGUUUUCAUUCUAUAGGUAGAGGUCAAAAAAUGGUAGGAAAAAGAUGGGACAAUAAACUGUAUUAUUGAUGUGUCUAAGGUGAAUGAGCGUGCAUUUAGUAAAAUCUAUUACUGAAUUUGAAAGUCUCUAGUGAGUGUUAUCUUUCAAGGAGUAUUUAGUUUGCAUGCCUCACUUUGAUACUACUCAUUGUACCUGAGCCUUUACUCCCCAAAUGUUUGUUUUCUUGCUUAUUUUCUAUUUGACAAAUUAUUAAAGUUUUGAGCCAUGUCUUUUUUGGCAUUCCCCCAUUAAUCCAAAAAAUUGAAUAGAUGCCUUUAUAAUUGUCUUUAUUGUAGGUCAAAGAUUAGAACUCUGAUGCCUGAUUUGUUGGUGCAGGCUUCUAUAUUCCUUGUGUUACAGGGGGCUUUUACAGUAUCAUCCGAUCCCCAAUUCUGCUCAUGGAAAUCUGUGUCCGCAAAAGCUGGCCACAAGAAUCAAGUGAGGUAUUUAGGAAAGCAACCUAUGUAGAGUUUAGAAGAAAAGUGAAAUUGCAUUGCAUGGGAUUUAGUGAUCCAAGGUGAAGAUUCAUAUUGCUGUUUAUACCUUAGAUGAAAAUAAUUCCCUUUUGUUGAAGAUAAAUUUCAACAGUUGCUUUACUUGACUCUCUGUAUUUACACAAUCUGAUAAAUAGUACUAAACAUUAGCCUAUAUGAUGUCUGAUUCAGAAACAUCUUUUCUCUGUUCCAGUAGAUUGACUGGAUCCUCUUCCUCCCUGACCCUGUUAACUUCAUCUUCAAAUGUCAUGUGAUGUGAUAUUGUUGGAUUGCUCAAAUAAAACAAUGCAUAUGAAAUAUGUUGUAAACAUUAAUGUAUCAAUAUAGUCAGUUAACAUAUAUGUAUAAUAUAGCUGUUUCCUUAAAGAUAUAAAAAUUGAAGAUGCAGCUUACACAGUGAUUGAAGUGUUAGAUUUGGAGUUGGGAAAAUGUGGGUUGAGAUUGCCUCUCUGACACUUAUUCAGUUCUGUGAUCCUAGGCAAAUCAUUUAAAUAUUCUAUGUUUCAAAUUGCUAUGGUCUAUGGAAUUUCUACAGGAGGAGUUUUUCUUCAUUGCUAACAAAAUAAUAGAUGCUUCAUGUUUGGGGUAAAAAUUGUAGACUAAUUGCCAGGAAAGAGCAAGAAAAAACUUAAAGAUUUCUUUAAAGACACUUUUCAGGCAAUAGUUUCUGUAACUUAGAUAGUUCAAUUUAUAAUAAAUGCUAAAGAUUUGCUGGGUUAAUACAUGGUAAGCAGAAUACACCCCCAAUUAACAUUCCCAAGUGACUAAGUAGUGUAAAGCCAUACUUUAUCAUUGGCAAUCACAGUAUUUCCAGGUCAGAAUUUAUGUCAUCACUUUGAAGUAAAUCUCUUGUUUUUGCUUCUACCAAAUGAGAAUUGUGAAAGGUGCUUUCAAACUUCAAGUACCUGUCAACUUUGAUAUGUGAGGAUAAUUUUGAGGAUUUAAAAUUCUCCUUAUUCUGUGCCCCUCCUGCUCCUUCCCCAGAAGUCCAGGGGGAAAAGAUUACUCUGUGGAUAAUACAAUAAGGGGAUCAGUGGUUUGUGAACAGUAAACUACCAAGUGACGUCCUGUAUAAUCAAUCAGGCCUUCUUCAUGGCUCAUUAAAUUAAAACAUUCAAUUUGCCCAGCUUGCAAAAAGAGUGGUGCAUUUCAGUUAGAACUUUUUUAUAUUUAGAUUAUUUUUGGUUUGUUAUUGUGAGAUUAUUGACUUUAUUUUCCCCUGCUAUUUAUAUUUUGUUUUUAGAGGUGAGAUUCUUUUUUUAAAAAUAAAAAUAAAUUGGAAUAAUAGUUGUCCUUGAACCGAAAAUAGUUUUGUGUCUUUUCUCAGUGAGAGAGAUGGUAGUUUUUGCAUAUGUUGUCUAAAAUAUAUGCUUUGCAAGUUGCUAAAUUGGUAAAGAAUUGGUAACUAUAGAAAUCACUUCAUUGAGGAUAUUAAGUAGACUUCCAUAUAGUAUUGCAGUUUCUUGCAAUUUCUACUUAUUGGGCUGCUCUGCAUAACAAGUAGAAUGUAAUCAAGGGGGAAGACCCAGUUAAAAUUAACAUGCACUGGUUUUCUAUCAUAACUAACUCCCUGCUCUUUAUGUUAUCUACAUAAAAAUUACAUUUUUUUCUCUUAUUUUUAUUUAAUAACCCUAUCAGCAUUACAGAUUCUCCUCUUGGUUCCAAGUUAUAUAACAGUGGAGUGACUGGUUUUCUUAAAUUCUUAUAUUUUAAUGAAAUUAGCUGACAUUUUAUUUAUUUCUUGAUUAUGGAAAAAUACAAUAAGCCAAUUAAACUCAUCUUUUCAUUAAAAUACAAUUGGAAGUCAGUAUCUGGAUAGUAACUUCAACCUAUUUUAAUAGCUUUUU